rnacentral:lncRNA from 1 species
AGAUGACAGAAACCCGAGCAAGGAGGCGCUGAGGAUGCGAGGCUCGCCCCGCGCUCCGCACAAGGACUUGAGCUGCGGCGCCGAGGGGAGGCGUCCUGCGCGGCCGCGGGGGCGGGCGCACUUCGCCCGGCCGCACCGCGGUACUUAAGCUCAUUCAGCCACAUGCAAACUUUCUGCACUAGCUGACGGACUUUCAGCUUCCAUCAAAACCUGGCAACCUGGCAUUGCUGCUAUGAUGACAGCAUUAGAAAACUGGCAUCUCAUGGGAGACAAGUCAGUUUACAUCAAUGGAAAUGGAUUUACACUGCAUCCUGGAUUCUGUACAAACAGGGAUUUGCUGGUUGUUCUUCUUUUCUGA